UUUCCCUAUAGAGCCUGGAGGCCACUCUGUGCACAGGCAUGACAAAUACUACUUUCUCCUUUGACGAAUAAUGAAACUGCAGUUAAAUAACUUAAAUAAUUACAAUCACAGAGCUAAACAAAUGUAAACCCAGAUCUGAUUCUGAAUGUUCUCUCUGACUUGUGAUUCUUGCUCUAAGGGGGCCUAAAACUCUGGAAAAAUAAUCCUGCCCCUGCCUUCAGCCUGGUUCUUGCCUCGGUGAGCCUUCUUUCUCGAUCCAGGUGUCCAUAAACAACAUUUGGUCUUGUUUUGUGCAGCUUGUUAAUUUUUUUUUACAAAUUAUGCAAUUAAAUUAUGAAAUGUGUAACUCGAGUGUUUGUGUCUUCUCCCACAAAGCCAUCAUAUAUCAUGUCUCCCAUGGGCAUCAGAAAUUCAUUCCUGCCCUUCCGUGGUCGUCCUCUUCCCCGCUGUGUGCGUCACUUCUCCGCUCAUUUCCCCUGACACUGCUCCUCCUUUCUGAGCCAUGGCUGCUUCCCUCACUUCGCCUGUCUGUUCCCCACCUCCCUCUUUACUUCUCCCCAAGGCCCCGGAGUUGCUUUCUUUGGAGACGGUGUCUACCCACUCUUUCUUUCCAGAGCUUCGGCCAGCUGGCCCUAGAAAUCAAUCAGUGGCCCAUCAGAGACCAGGCUAGCAGCUGUCACACUCACCAUGGAAUUUAGCAACUACUUCUUCAAACAGAAAAACACCUGCCAGAGUCCCAACCCCACCUUCUCCUGCACGCCCAGGCCCAAACCACAGCACCGGCCUCCAUCCUCGGUGAGACUGACUGCCUCCCAGCAUCUCUCUGAACGAGACCCAGCAAGUUCUUCCACGUCCACUGCUUCCUUCCUGAAGAGAAGAAACACUGUCUCCAGCCUCAACCUGCUGAAUGGAAUCACCACGGAAUUCUUCCAGCAGCCCUGGCCUUUCACACCUGAGACAUUUUCCAAACUAAACCUGGUGUCUCUGGAUCUGAGGGUCAUGUCAGAAAUUUGCCUGUUCUCGCCCCACGUGGAUGAUAACAGGGUUCUCCCAUUACACAGUCCUUGCUGAGCUGCUGUGCUGGUCCUCUCCAAAGGGGAGGCUCUCGGUGAAGGCACCCACUUUCUCAGAGUCCUUCUCUUAUCCUGCUUUUGUCUGGGGCACAGCUUGCUGGACUGGAAGGAGCAGUAGAUUGAGUUCAGACCCGUGUGUUUGAAGCCUGCCUCUGCCUCUGUUCUCUGUAUAAUGGCAGGCACGCUGCCUCACCUUGUAUAGCUUUGGUUUUCCUAUCUCUGUAAUGGGGUACAGGGUAGUCUGAAAGAUGGUCCCCCAAAAGAUUCCACAUCCUAAUCCCUGGAACCAGCAAAUGUUGCUUUUUUGGAAAAAAGGGUCUUUGAAGAUAUAAUUAAAAUGAGAUGAUCCUGGUGGGCCCUAAUGCCAUCACAAUGUCUUUAGGAGAGGGAGGUAGAGGGAAAUCGCAGACAGAAGAGGAGGGGGCAGCGUGACCGUAGAGGCAAAGAUUAGAGUGAUGCAGCCACAGUCCAGGAAUGCAAGCAGCCAGCAGAGCCUGGAAGAGACAAAGCACAGAUUCUUCCCGGGGCCUCCCAGGGUAGCACCUCCUGCUAUUGUAGGCUGAAUUGUGUCUCUUCAAAAGUCAUCUGUUGGAAGUCUCAGUUCCUAGUACCUCAGAAUGUAACCAUAUUUGGAAAUAAAGGAUGGGACCCUAACUCAACAGGAGUGGUGUCCAUACAAGAAGAGGAAAAGACACCAGGGACACACAUAUGCACAGAGAGAGGAAUUAGAAUCAGAAAAAUGAAGGAAAAUUAGGAGUUCACCUGAACAAUCCCAUCCCUGAGUAACCCCAUAACAUCUCUCUGGAGGCAGGGAAAUAUUUACCUGGCAAUUGUGUUCUAACUCAUCCAGUUGUCUCCCCUUUGUGAUGAAUGCCUAAUCACUAUGGAAAAUAACCUCUUCUCUAAACUAUGUAUUUCAUAACAUAACCUGUACCGGAAAUGUG